CCGUCCGCCCUUCGGAAUGCCUUCGAGGCCCGGCACCCCGGACGGCUACUCUGGCCAGGUGCGCCAUCCGUCCCCCGGGGAAGGACAGCGCAUAGCCGACAGCCGUCGCACCCCAGGGAGCACCUCCAUG
rnacentral:sRNA from 1 species